UAAAUAGAAAAGGAAAUUGGUUUAUCUGUUUACAAGAUGAGCAAACAAAUAUAAAUUCAAAAAAAAAAGAUGAAAGUUCUUUCAGCUGUUAUAAGGAUUCAAAUUUUACUUUCGAAAACAAGGGUAUAUCUACUUUAGUUAGACAAUUUAAAUUAAAUGAAGCUUUGAUGUCAAUAAUUAAGAAUGACCCCCGCUCUACAGCUUCCUUAUUAGAAUAUUACUCCAAAAACCAUAUGUUACGUAUAGCAUGUAAAACACAUUCUAUAGAAGAUGUAAUACGUGUCAUUCAAUACAUAGGAAAAUAUUUUACAACAGAUGCUAUAAUAUCAGAGUUUUUUGCGGAAUAUUUAGAUGUUAACCAAUGGAUAAAUGCUACAACGAACGAGAAGCUGUCAAAUGAAUUGUCACUAUUAAUUCGGGUAAUAAUGAAAAAGGAAAAAAAAAAAAAAAAAAGGAAAAAAAG
rnacentral:lncRNA from 1 species